rnacentral:rRNA from 1 species
AUUGAACGCUGGCGGCGUGCUUAACACAUGCAAGUCGAUCGGUAACAGGUGUAGCAAUACAUGCUGACGAGAGGCGGACGGGUGAGUAAUGCUUGGGAAUCUGCCUAUUAGUGGGGGGACAACCCGGGGAAACUCGGGCUAAUACCGCAUACGCUCUACGGAGGAAAGCCGGGGACCGCAAGGCCUGGCGCUAAUAGAUGAGCCCAAGUCGGAUUAGCUAGUUGGUAGGGUAACGGCCUACCAAGGCGACAAUCCGUAGCUGGUCUGAGAGGACGACCAGCCACACCGGAACUGAGACACGGUCCGGACUCCUACGGGAGGCAGCAGUGGGGAAUAUUGGACAAUGGGGGCAACCCUGAUCCAGCGACGCCGCGUGGGUGAAGAAGGCCUGCGGGUUGUAAAGCCCUUUCGGUGGGGAAGAAAGCCGAGUGCUAAUAUCACUCGGUCUUGACGUUUACUUACAGAAGAAGCACCGGCUAACUCCGUGCC